rnacentral:rRNA from 1 species
UACGGGGGGGGCAAGCGUUGUUCGGAAUUACUGGGCGUAAAGGGCUCGUAGGCGGCCAACUAAGUCAGACGUGAAAUCCCUCGGCUUAACCGGGGAACUGCGUCUGAUACUGGAUGGCUAGAGUUUGGGAGAGGGAUGCGGAAUUCCAGGUGUAGCGGUGAAAUGCGUAGAUAUCUGGAGGAACACCGGUGGCGAAGGCGGCAUCCUGGACCAACACUGACGCUGAGGUGCGAAAGCGUGGGGAGCAAACAGGG